GGAUGCCACAAUGAUUUACACCAAGGGAGCCUCAAGGAGCAGGGCAGAACAACAGCUGCAUGAGAUCUCUUGGAGCCUUCUCAGAGGGACAUCUUCAAUCACUUGACACGGAUGAAAACAACCAUGGCAGUCCCUUUUAAGAGCGCACUGAAAGAUCGGGCUUUGGUAUCAAGCAAUAUUGGCAUUCCACCGCAUCUGAUCCACCGUAUCCAGUAUCCAGCCUACACUAGUUACACAUCUCCCGUGGUCAAGAAGCUUGCGGAGCAGGACAAAUUAAGAAUUUCCAAGUUGCUGGCAGCACCUCGGAUAAGCAUUCAAGGACUGAGCAGCAGGGAGGGCAGCCUUGCUCACAUCCCCCAGCAGAAGCGCAGCCACGGGUCUCAAGACGUAGGUGUGGCUGCUGAACAAAGUCCAGCAGUGUCACGAUUCAGCAUAGCAACUAGUCCCUUUUACGUUAGCAGGGAAUUCUUUGAUGGUGGCCUGGUCCCCAUAAGCAGCUUUUUCCCAGAGGGAGCCUCAGCUCCAGGUAACUUUGUCAUUUUUGCCAAAAAAAAGGUCCCUUUCCGUGUGUUGCCAAUGAAGCUGCUAGAUGCCUCCAGUAUCAGGAAA